rnacentral:antisense_RNA from 1 species
UUCAAUGGUGGGCUGGACGGUGGCGCCGCAAGGCGCGCCGGUAGCUGAUGAGGCCGGUAGGACCAACUCCGUUCAGUCCAUCACCAGU